rnacentral:lncRNA from 1 species
GGGUGGUGGAAAUACUUGGGAGGAAGCUUGGGAAGCGGAGGGCACGGCUUCUUAGUAAAUGGAGGAAUCUUCGGAAGAGGAGGAAGUGGCUUGUGAGGAAUAGGAGGGAAGGGUUUCGGUUUGUAAAUAGGAACCGGCGGUGGAAGCGGCUUCUUAUAAACCGGCACCGGAUGAGGCUUAUAAACCGGUGGUUUGUAGACAGGAACCGGCGGUGGAAGCGGCUUCUUAUAAACCGGCACCGGAGGAGGCUUAUAAACCGGUGGUUUGUAGACAGGAACCGGUGGAGGGAGUGGUUUCUUGUAGACCGGCACCGGAUGAGGCUUAUAAACCGGUGGUGGAAGAGGUUUCUUGUAGAUGGGAGGGUGAGGGUAAUGAUGGUGGAAGCUUUUCAAUGGCGGAAGUGGUGGAAGCUUAGGCAAUGGAGGGAAGUUGUG